UACAGAGGUCCCAAGCGUUGUUCGGAUUUACUGGGCGUAAAGGGCGCGCAGGCGGCUCUUCAAGUCAGAUGUGAAAGCCCCGGGCUUAACCUGGGAAUGGCAUUUGAGACUGCAUAGCUAGGGUGCGGAAGAGGGAAGCGGAAUUUCCGGUGUAGCGGUGAAAUGCGUAGAUAUCGGGAGGAACACCAGUGGCGAAGGCGGCUCACUGGGCCGAGCCUGACGCUGAGACGCGAAGGCGUGGGGAGCGAACGGG
rnacentral:rRNA from 1 species